rnacentral:rRNA from 1 species
GGAUCUCUUGGUUCGGCAUCGAUGAAGGACGCAGCGAAAUGCGAUAAGUAGUGUGAAUUGCAGUAUUCAGUGAAUCAUCGAAUCUUUGAACGCACAUUGCGCCCCUUGGUAUUCCAUGGGGCAUGCCUGUUCGAGCGUCAUUUGUACCUUCAAGCUCUGCUUGGUGUUGGGUGUUUGUCUCGCCUCUGCGUGUAGACUCGCCUCAAAACAAUUGGCAGCCGGUUUAUUGAUUUCGGAGCGCAGUACAUCUCGCGCUUUGCACUCAUAACGACGACGUCCAAAAGUACAUUUUUACACUCUUGACCUCGGAUCAGGUAGGGAUACCCGCCGAACUUAAGCAUAUCAAUAAGCGGAGGA